rnacentral:rRNA from 1 species
UACGGAGGGGGCUAGCGUUGUUCGGAAUUACUGGGCGUAAAGCGCGCGUAGGCGGCUUUGUAAGUUAGAGGUGAAAGCCCAGAGCUUAACUCUGGAAUUGCCUUUAAGACUGCAUCGCUUGAAUCAUGGAGAGGUGAGUGGAAUUCCGAGUGUAGAGGUGAAAUUCGUAGAUAUUCGGAAGAACACCAGUGGCGAAGGCGACUCACUGGACAUGUAUUGACGCUGAGGUGCGAAAGCGUGGGGAGCAAACAGG